rnacentral:rRNA from 1 species
UACGUAGGGCGCAAGCGUUGUCCGGAAUUAUUGGGCGUAAAGGGCUCGUAGGCGGUUUGUCGCGUCUGCUGUGAAAACCUAAGGCUCAACCUUGGGCUUGCAGUGGGUACGGGCAGACUAGAGUGCGGUAGGGGUGACUGGAAUUCCUGGUGUAGCGGUGGAAUGCGCAGAUAUCAGGAGGAACACCGGUGGCGAAGGCGGGUCUCUGGGCCGUAACUGACGCUGAGGAGCGAAAGCGUGGGGAGCGAACAGG